rnacentral:rRNA from 1 species
GACGAACGCUGGCGGCGUGCUUAACACAUGCAAGUCGAACGGAAAGGCCUCUUUCGGGGGGUACUCGAGUGGCGAACGGGUGAGUAACACGUGAGUAACCUGCCCUUGACUUUGGGAUAACUUCAGGAAACUGGGGCUAAUACCGGAUAGGAGCUCCUGCUGCAUGGUGGGGGGUGGAAAGUUUCGGCGGUUGGGGAUGGACUCGCGGCUUAUCAGCUUGUUGGUGGGGUAGUGGCUUACCAAGGCUUUGACGGGUAGCCGGCCUGAGAGGGUGACCGGCCACAUUGGGACUGAGAUACGGCCCAGACUCCUACGGGAGGCAGCAGUGGGGAAUAUUGCACAAUGGGUGGAAGCCUGAUGCAGCAACGCCGUGUGCGGGAUGACGGCCUUCGGGUUGUAAACCGCUUUCGCUCAUGACGAAGCUUUGUGUGACGGUAGUGGGUAAAGAAGCACCGGCUAACUACGU